GAUGAACGCUGGCGGCGUGCCUAAUACAUGCAAGUCGAACGCAGUGGGGACGGGGGAGUAACACGUGGGUAACCUCCCAUCAGAGGGGAUAAAACUUGGAAACAGGUGCUAAACCGAUACUGAUGGAUGGACUCGCGGGGCAUUAGCUAGUUGGUGGGGUAACGGCUCACCAGGGCCACGAUGCAUAGCCGACCUGAGAGGGUGAUCGGCCACACUGGGACUGAGACACGGCCCAGACUCCUACGGGAGGCAGCAGUAGGGAAUAUUCGACAAUGGGCGAAAGCCUGACCGAGCAAUGCCGCGUGAGUGAAGAAGGUUUUAGGAUUGUAAAACUCUGUUGUUAGAGAAGCGGUAUCUAACGAGAAAGCAACGGCUAACUCCGUGCCAGCAGCCGCGGUAAUUC
rnacentral:rRNA from 1 species